ACGCGUUGGCCCAAUUGAUUGAUGGUGCUUGCACCUGAUUGAUUUUGGUCGCCAACGAGUGGCGGACGGGUGAGUAACACGUAGGUAACCUGCCCAGAAGCGGGGGACAACAUUUGGAAACAGAUGCUAAUACCGCAUAACAGCGUUGUUCGCAUGAACAACGCUUAAAAGAUGGCUUCUCGCUAUCACUUCUGGAUGGACCUGCGGUGCAUUAGCUUGUUGGUGGGGUAACGGCCUACCAAGGCGAUGAUGCAUAGCCGAGUUGAGAGACUGAUCGGCCACAAUGGGACUGAGACACGGCCCAUACUCCUACGGGAGGCAGCAGUAGGGAAUCUUCCACAAUGGGCGCAAGCCUGAUGGAGCAACACCGCGUGAGUGAAGAAGGGUUUCGGCUCGUAAAGCUCUGUUGUUAAAGAAGAACACGUAUGAGAGUAACUGUUCAUACGUUGACGGUAUUUAACCAGAAAGUCACGGCUAACUACGUGCCAGCAGCCGCGGUAAUACGUAGGUGGCAAGCGUUAUCCGGAUUUAUUGGGCGUAAAGAGAGUGCAGGCGGUUUUCUAAGUCUGAUGUGAAAGCCUUCGGCUUAACCGGAGAAGUGCAUCGGAAACUGGAUAACUUGAGUGCAGAAGAGGGUAGUGGAACUCCAUGUGUAGCGGUGGAAUGCGUAGAUAUAUGGAAGAACACCAGUGGCGAAGGCGGCUACCUGGUCUGCAACUGACGCUGAGACUCGAAAGCAUGGGUAGCGAACAGGAUUAGAUACCCUGGUAGUCCAUGCCGUAAACGAUGAGUGCUAGGUGUUGGAGGGUUUCCGCCCUUCAGUGCCGGAGCUAACGCAUUAAGCACUCCGCCUGGGGAGUACGACCGCAAGGUUGAAACUCAAAGGAAUUGACGGGGGCCCGCACAAGCGGUGGAGCAUGUGGUUUAAUUCGAAGCUACGCGAAGAACCUUACCAGGUCUUGACAUCUUGCGCCAACCCUAGAGAUAGGGCGUUUCCUUCGGGAACGCAAUGACAGGUGGUGCAUGGUCGUCGUCAGCUCGUGUCGUGAGAUGUUGGGUUAAGUCCCGCAACGAGCGCAACCCUUGUUACUAGUUGCCAGCAUUAAGUUGGGCACUCUAGUGAGACUGCCGGUGACAAACCGGAGGAAGGUGGGGACGACGUCAGAUCAUCAUGCCCCUUAUGACCUGGGCUACACACGUGCUACAAUGGACGGUACAACGAGUCGCGAACUCGCGAGGGCAAGCAAAUCUCUUAAAACCGUUCUCAGUUCGGACUGCAGGCUGCAACUCGCCUGCACGAAGUCGGAAUCGCUAGUAAUCGCGGAUCAGCAUGCCGCGGUGAAUACGUUCCCGGGCCUUGUACACACCGCCCGUCACACCAUGAGAGUUUGUAACACCCAAAGUCGGUGGGGUAACCUUUU
rnacentral:rRNA from 1 species